UACGGAGGGUGCAAGCGUUAUCCGGAUUCACUGGGUUAAAGGGUGCGUAGGUGGGCUGGUAAGUCAGUGGUGAAAUCUCCAGGCUUAACUUGGAAACUGCCAUUGAUACUAUCAGUCUUGAAUACCGUGGAGGUCAGCGGAAUAUGUCAUGUAGCGGUGAAAUGCUUAGAUAUGACAUAGAACACCAAUUGCGAAGGCAGCUGGCUACACGAAUAUUGACACUGAUGCACGAAAGCGUGGGGAGUCAAAC
rnacentral:rRNA from 1 species